rnacentral:misc_RNA from 1 species
UUUCCGUAGGUGAACCUGCGGAAGGAUCAUUAAUAAAUUUUUUUUUGAAAUAAAAAAAAUAAUAAUCAUCCUACCCUUUGUGAAUUUGUUUGUUUGAAUAUUUUUUAAAAUUAUUUAUUGUCUAUCCAAGUUGGAAAGUUGUUAAAAGACUCGAAGACUUGGAGGCGGCAUAAAUAAGUUUAAAGACUUUUUUCUAAAAUUAAACUUUUUGUAUUCAUUUGUCUAAAAUAAUUUUUAUAAUAUAUAAAAACAACUUUUGACAAUGGAUCUCCUGGUCUCGCAACGAUGAAGAACGCAGCAAAAUGCGAUAAGUAAUGUGAAUUGCAGAAUACGUGAAUCAUCGAAUCUUCGAACGCAUAUUGCACUUUUUUAGUUUUACUAAAAAAGUAUGUCUGUUUGAGUAUCAGUAAAAUAUUCUCAUAAAAUUUUUAAUUUUAUGUUAUGAGUGUUUUACAACGAUAAACAAGUUGUUUCACUUUAAAUUGAAUUUUUUUGAAGAAAUUCUUAAUUCAAAUUAAAUUUGGAUAAAAUUUUCCCGUAAAAAGGAAUAACUAUACAAGUUUAAUAAGAAUUUAGUGAUUUCUUUUAUGAAAAGGAAAUUUAUUAAAUAACUUGAUCUCAAAUCAGAUAAGAGUACCCGCUGAACUUAAGCCAUAUCAAUAAGCGGAGGAAAAGAAACUAACAAGGAUUCCCCUAGUAACGGCGAGUGAAGCGGGAAGAGCUCAAAUUUGAAAUCUUAAAGGGUUUCCCUUUACGAAUUGUAGUUUAAAGAAGUGUUUUCUGUUGAGGUUUUGGUAAAAGUUCUUUGGAAUAGGACAUCAUAGAGGGUGAGAAUCCCGUAUUUGACCUUUACUUUCAACUUUGUGAUACACUUUCAAAGAGUCGGAUUGUUUGGAAUGCAGUCCAAAAUGGGUGGUAAAUUUCAUCUAAAGCUAAUAUUGGCGAGAGACCGAUAGCGAACAAGUACCGUGAGGGAAAGAUGAAAAGAACUUUGAAAAGAGAGUUAACACAGUACGUGAAAUUGUCAAAAGGGAAGCGUUUGACACCAGUGUUGUUUUUUCUGAAAAUCAAUUAAAGAACUGUUUAUGCUAAGCUCUGUUUAGACUUUAUCAGCUAUCUGUUUAGUUUUGAGCUUUUCUUUAAUGCACUUUUCAGUUAACAAGGUCAACAUCAAUUCUUUUGCUGUAAAAAGCUUGAGGAAGGUGGCUUGAGAUUCGUCUUAAGUGUUUAUAGCCUCUUGCCUAUGCAGUCGGAGAGAUUGAGGUCUGCAGCGUAGAUCCUUCGGGGCUAAAUGCAUUUGUGCUAAGUUAUAGCAUUUUAUAGACAACUUGUUGAUUAUGAUUUGUCUUGUAGCUUACUCGCUUAUGUUAUUU